rnacentral:rRNA from 1 species
GACGAACGCUGGCGGCGUGCUUAACACAUGCAAGUCGAACGGAAAGGCCCUGCUUUUGUGUGGUGCUCGAGUGGCGAACGGGUGAGUAACACGUGAGUAACCUGCCCUUGACUGUGUGAUAACUUCAGGAAACUGGGGCUAAUACCGGAUAGGAGCUCCUGCUGCAUGGUGGUGGUUGGAAAGUUUAGGCGGUUGUGGAUGGACUCGCGGCUUAUCAGCUUGUUGGUGGGGUAGUGGCUUACCAAGGCUUUGACGGGUAGCCGGCCUGAGAGGGUGACCGCCCACAUUGGGACUGAGAGACGGCUCAGACUCGUACGGGAGGCAGCAGGGGGGAACAUGGUACAAUGGGCGGAAGCCUGAUGAAGCAACGCCGCGUGCGGGAUGACGGCCUUCGGGUUGUAAACCGCUUUCGCCUGUGACGAAGCGUGAGUGACGGUAAUGGGUAAAGAAGCACCGGCUAACUACGUG